rnacentral:rRNA from 1 species
UACGAAGGGGGCUAGCGUUGCUCGGAAUCACUGGGGCGUAAAGCGCACGUAGGCGGCUUUCUAAGUCAGGGGGUGAAAUCCUGGAGCUCAACUCCAGAACUGCCUUUGAUACUGAGGAUCUUGAGUUCGGGGAGAGGUGAGUGGGAACUGCGAGUGUAGAGGUGAAAAUUCGUAGAUAUUCGCAAGAACACCAGUGGCGAAGGGCGGCUCACUGGCCCGAUACUGACGCUGAGGCACGAAAGCGUGGGGGAGCAAACAGG